GAUGAACGCUGGCGGCGUGCCUAAUACAUGCAAGUCGAGCGAAUGAUGAGGAGCUUGCUCCUCUGAUUUAGCGGCGGACGGGUGAGUAACACGUGGGUAAUCUGCCUGUAAGACGGGGAUAACUCCGGGAAACCGGGGCUAAUACCGGAUAACAAAAGAAGAUGCAUAUCUUCUUUUUGAAAGUCGGUUUCGGCUGACACUUACAGAUGAGCCCGCGGCGCAUUAGCUAGUUGGUGAGGUAACGGCGCACCAAGGCGACGAUGCGUAGCCGACCUGAGAGGGUGAUCGGGCACACUGGGACUGAGACACGGCCCAGACUCCUACGGGAGGCAGCAGUAGGGAAUCUUCGGCAAUGGGCGAAAGCCUGACCGAGCAACGCCGCGUGAGCGAUGAAGGCCUUCGGGUCGUAAAGCUCUGUUGUUAGAGAAGAACAAGUACGAGAGUAACUGCUCGUACCUUGACGGUACCUAACCAGAAAGCCACGGCUAACUACGUGCCAGCAGCCGCCGCGGUAA
rnacentral:rRNA from 1 species